rnacentral:rRNA from 1 species
AGAGUUUGAUCCUGGCUCAGGAUGAACGCUAGCGGGAGGCCUAACACAUGCAAGUCGAACGGGAUUGAGAGCUUGCUCUCAUGAGAGUGGCGCACGGGUGAGUAACGCGUAUGCAACCUGCCUGUAACAGAGGGAUAGCCCAUAGAAAUGUGGAUUAAUACCUCAUAGUCCUGAGAAGUCGCAUGAUUUUUCAGGUAAAACUCCGGUGGUUACAGAUGGGCAUGCGUGACAUUAGCUAGUUGGUAAGGUAACGGCUUACCAAGGCAACGAUGUCUAGGGGUUCUGAGAGGAUGAUCCCCCACACUGGUACUGAGACACGGACCAGACUCCUACGGGAGGCAGCAGUGAGGAAUAUUGGUCAAUGGGCGCAAGCCUGAACCAGCCAUCCCGCGUGCAGGAUGACGGCCCUAUGGGUUGUAAACUGCUUUUAUACAGGAAGAAAAAUCUCUACGUGUAGAGACUUGCCGGUACUGUAUGAAUAAGCAUCGGCUAACUCCGUGCCAGCAGCCGCGGUAAUACGGAGGAUGCAAGCGUUAUCCGGAUUCAUUGGGUUUAAAGGGUGCGUAGGCGGCUCUUUAAGUCAGUGGUGAAAUCCUGCCGCUUAACGGUAGAAUUGCCAUUGAUACUGAAGAGCUUGAGUACAAUUGAGGUAAGCGGAAUGUGUAGUGUAGCGGUGAAAUGCUUAGAUAUUACACAGAACACCAAUUGCGAAGGCAGCUUACUAAACUGUCACUGACGCUGAUGCAUGAAAGCGUGGGGAGCGAACAGGAUUAGAUACCCUGGUAGUCCACGCCGUAAACGAUGAUCACCCGCUGUAUGCGAUACACAGUAUGC